UACGUAGGGUGCGAGCGUUGUCCGGAAUUACUGGGCGUAAAGAGCUCGUAGGCGGUUUGUCGCGUCGUCCGUGAAAACUUGGGGCUCAACCCCAAGCUUGCGGUCGAUACGGGCAGGCUCGAGUUCGGUAGGGGAGACUGGAAUUCCUGGUGUAGCGGUGAAAUGCGCAGAUAUCAGGAGGAACACCGGUGGCGAAGGCGGGUCUCUGGGCCGAUACUGACGCUGAGGAGCGAAAGCGUGGGGAGCGAACAGG
rnacentral:rRNA from 1 species